UGACGGUAGCGUGCGGCGCAGCCUCAAUC
rnacentral:sRNA from 1 species